UCAACUCUAAGUAAGAGAAAACCUAAAUUCAAGUUGUGCUACAAGUAGUAGUAGUUGUGUUGUCAACUCAAAACAAGAGGAAACUUAAAUUCAAGUUGUGCUACUAGUAGUAGUAGUUGUGUUGUUGUCAACUCUAAGCAAGACAAAGUAGUAAUAGUAGUAGUAGUUCUGCUGUUGUUAACUCUAAGAAAGAGGAAACCUAAAUUCAAGUUGUGCUACAAGUAGUAGUAGUAGUAGUAGUAGUAGUUGUUGUUGUUCUAUUGUUGUCAACUCUAAACAAGAGGAAACCUAACUUCAGUUGUGCUACAAGUAGUAGUUUCAAGUUGUUCUACAAGCAGUAGUUUCAAGUUGUGCUACAAGUAAUAGUAGUUGUGUUGUCAACUCUAAAUGAGGAAACUUAAAUUCAAGUUGUGCUACUAGUAGUAGUUAUUGUGUUGUGGUCAAGUCUAAGCAAGACAAAGUAGUAAUAGUAGCAAUACUUCUGCUGUUUUUAACUCUAAGAGAAAACAUAAAUUCAAGUUGUGCUACAAGUAGUAGUAGUAGUUGUGUUGUUGUCAACUCUAAAAGAGAAGAAACAUAAAUUAGUUGUGCUACAAGUAGUAGUUUCAAGUUGUGCUACAAGUAGUAGUCUCAAGUUGUGCUACAAGUAGUAGUAAUAGUAGUUGUGUUGUUGUCAACUCUAAACAAGAGGAAACCUAAAUUCAGUUGUGCUACAAGUAGUAGUUUCAAGUUGUUCUACAAGCAGUAGUUUCAAGAUGUGCUACAAGUAGUAGUAGUUGUGUUGUCAACUCUAAACAAGAGAAAACUUAAAUUCAAGUUUUGUUCUACAAGCAGUAGUUUCAAGUUGUGCUACAAGUAGUAGUAGUUGUGUUGUCAACUCUAAACAAGAGGAAACUUAAAUUCAGGUUGUGCUACAAGUAGUAGUAGUUGUGUUGUUGUCAUGUCUAAGCAAGACAAAGUAGUAAUAGUAACAGUAGUUCUGCUGUUGUUAACUCUAAGAAAGAGGAAACCUAAAUUCAAGUUGUGCUACAAGCAGUAGUAGUGAAAACCUAAAUUCAAGUUGUGCUACAAGCAGCAGCAGUAGUAGUAGUAGUAGUAGUAGUAGUAGUAGUUGUUGUGUUGUUGUCAACUCUAAACAAAAGGAAACCUAAAUUCAAGUUGAGUUAUGCUACAAGUACUAGUAGUAGUUAUUGUGUUGUUGUCAACUCUAAACAAGAGGAAACCUAAAUUCAAGUUGUGCUACAAGUAGUAGUUUUAAUUUGUGCUACAAGUAGUAGUUGUUGUGUUGUCAACUCUAAACAAGAGGAAACCUAAAUUCAAAUUGUGCUACAAGUAGCAGUUUCAAGAAGUAGUAGUAGUAGUGUUAGUAAUAGUGUUGCAACUCUAAGCAAGAGAAAACCUAAAUUCAAGUUGUGUUGUUGUCAACUAUAAGAAAGACGAAGUAUUAGUUGUGUUAAAUUCAAUUCUAAGGUAGAGGAAACCUAAAUUCAAGUUGUAGUAGUGGUUGUGGUGCUGUCAACUCUAAGCAAGAGAAAAUAGUAAUAGUAGUUGUGUUGUUGUCAACUCUAAGCAAGAGGAAAUCUAAAUUUAGGUUGUGUUACAAGUAGUAGUUUCAUUGUCAACUUGUCAACUCUAAGCAAGAGGAAACCUAAAUUCAAAUUCUGUUACAAGUAGUAGUUUCAAGUUGUGCUACAAGUAGUAGUAAUAGUAGUGUUGCAACUCUAAGUAAGAGAAAACUUCCAUUCAAGUUGUGCUGCAGUCAAUUCUAAACAAGAGUAAUACGUGCUCAAGAGUAUCAAAGAGAAACUAGUAGUAGUAGUAGUAGUAGACAACAUAAAUGAAAUCAGAAAUGAUCAAAAUGAAG